AGCAGGUUACUUAAAUGACAUACAUCUGUUCAUAAAUGACAUACUAAAGUCCUAAUAAGAAUCCCAAGUGGCAUCUAUAGAAUCUCCUCCAGGUGAAUAAAUUGGGGAAGUGAGAGAAACUGAAGAAGGGGCCUCAAGAAGCUGAUGGUUGGGGUUUUCUGAAGAUCCCAUUGUUUUCUGAUCCCUGAAAGGAUCAGACUCCAACUUGGUUGACCACAAGAAGGCCUGGCUAUGACAUCCUUGGGCAGUUGGGGUUAAGUGACUUGCCCAGGGUCACACAGCUAGUAAGUGUCAAGUGUUUGGUCUACGACUGGAUUUGAACUCAGGUCCUCCUGACUUCAGCCCCAUCUUUUUGGUUUAUACAAAUUAUUUUCACAGUCCGCUGUCAGAACAGCCUUUCCUUAGGCAAUACCAUCCUGAUGUUCCUGAACAUGAAAAUCACCAAUUUCCUCAUCCAUGGAGCCUGAUUUUUAACACCACCAGAAUUAGCCACCGUCAUAAUGAUACCGUCAUUGCUCCCAAACGAAUGGAGUCUUAACUGAAAUAACCCAGUUAAUGCUGUGGGCCUCAAUAGGGAUUGCCAUUCCAAAACCCCAACCCUUUAUAUUUGUUAUUUUCGGGCAGAGCCACCACAGAGCUGUCAACAACGAACUCAAGGGUAGCUAAUUAUACCUCUCCAAAAACCUACUGCAUCGCUAGGACUUGACUUUGUAUUACCAAAGAGUGGACUACGGUCGACUGUGACUUUUGAAUCAGCUUGAAAGGUGAAAAUCUUGUACUUACUCAAUUUGCUUUCCACAUGAUAGCAACAUGAAUGUGUUUUAAGUUUUGCUUUUCAACUUCAAUUUAUUUCCCCAAAAUCAGUCUCUCUCAGACCCUGACUUUCCCAUCAGAGAAAAUAAAGGAAGAAAUUACAUGA